rnacentral:rRNA from 1 species
CCUACGGGACGCAGCAGUGGGGAAUAUUGCACAAUGGGGGAAACCCUGAUGCAGCGACGCCGCGUGAGUGAAGAAGUAUCUCGGUACGUAAAGCUCUAUCAGCAGGGAAGAAAAAAAGUCUUUGGCUUUGGACGGUACCUGACUAAGAAGCCCCGGCUAACUACGUGCCAGCAGCCGCGGUAAUACGUAGGGGGCAAGCGUUAUCCGGAUUUACUGGGUGUAACGGGAGCGCAGGCGGCCUGCCAAGUCUGGUGUGAAAACCCGGGGCCCAACCCCGGGCCUGCAUUGGAAACUGGCGGGCUGGG